AAACCAGGACCUUGUUCCGGCUAAGCAAGUAUUCAACUACUGAGCUACACCAGCAGCCCUUGUUUUUGGGACAGGCUCCCUCUAUGUAGGUCAGGCUGGCUAUGAACUUCCUAUGUACUCAAGACUGACCUGAAAACCUUCCCCUCUCUACCUACUGGGAGCUGGGAUUAGAGCUGCGACUACCUCAGUGGUUUGGAGUAAUCUCAUAUACCAAGGUCCAGCAUGAAUGCAUUCUCCUAGAACCGUCUUGCUCUAUUUUACGAGCCGAGUGCACAGUCAACAUUCAGUUUCGCUUGUGAUUUUUCUCCUUGCACGAGCAAAUGUAGCCGUGCGUAAGUAAGGAGGAACAACUGCUUAACAAAUUUCAUCUCCCGACGCCCAAGGACUAACGGAACCCGGAAAGGAAGAAGCUAUUCGGAACAAUACGAAUAUUUCUUGGCCCUGUCUCUCUUCAAUCUAAUUUUCUGUCCAUUGAAAGCAGCUGUGCCUUUCUCACUCUGACAAUUCUGAAAUCAGGGUAACUGGUUCCUCAUAAAGACUAGGAUGCGCUGGCAGGAGCUGCCGCUGCCAGGAGCUGCUGAAUGUUCAAUGGUGCUUGAUUAUACAGGAGGUUAAUGAGACCACUGUGAUUAUUUCCUUCUUGGUGAAACUGCCCCUUGUCUUAUUACAAAACCGCUAAUUAUCCCUCAAACCAGAGAUUCUUUAAAUAAGCGCGAGAGGCAGCAUUAUGUAACCAGUGCAGGGCCUCUUUUUCUUUUGUAAG
rnacentral:sRNA from 1 species